rnacentral:lncRNA from 7 species
UGGUUCCCGGGCAGCCUCUGUAGCCCCUGGGGCUCAGUCGGGGCCUAGCCGCCUCGCCCCCUCUCCGCAGCCUGGAGCAAACUUGGGAUUUUCAGCCAGCGUGGAGGACACGGCUGAUUCACCCAGGGGCUUUUGUGGGGACAUUCCUGCCGUCGGAGGCCCCUUUUCCGAAUGGCCCGUAGGCGGGGGUUCUUCCAGUGGGGCCUCCGGGGCUCUGACCAGAGAAUAUGAUUCGGGCCUCAGGGAAUAUGCGUUUCAGCCCUAAUGUCUUGUGUGCCGGGUGAGUGGUGGCAUCAUGGCACGUGCAAGUGAACGUUCAUCCACACAGACACUCAGGGAUCUGAACCCGGCCA